GACGAACGCUGACGGCGUGCUUAACACAUGCAAGUCGAAGGGAGUGGCGAACGGGUGAGUAACCCGUGGGUAACCGGCCCUUUUCUUUGGGAUAAGCCUGGGAAACUGGGUCUCAUAAUGAAUGGAUUUGGAUGGGAUUGCGGCUUGUCAGCUUGUUGGUGGGGUGAUGGCUUACCAAGGCUUUGACGGGUAGCCGGCCUGAGAGGGGGGUCGGUGACAGUGGGACUGAGACACGGCCGAGAAUCCUACGGGGGGAAGCAGUGGGGGAUAGUGCGCAAUGGAGGAAAGACUGAUGCAGCGACGGCGUGUGCGGGAUGAAGGCCUUCGGGUUGUAAACUCCGUUCGCCAGCGGAAUGGUAGUGGGUAAAGAAGCGCCGGCUAACUACGUGCCAGCAGCCGCGGUAAUAC
rnacentral:rRNA from 1 species